rnacentral:lncRNA from 1 species
GGCAAUUCCAGUUCCAUAGGAACCUGCUCAUUAAGCUGGAGACUUCCUCAGGUGCUGACAAAAGACCUUUUCUGUUUCCCCUCCCUGAUCAACUAGUUUGUAACUGUGAGCACAAUGUCCCUCUUACUGACUCCUCUGAUCCCCAGUGACAAAAGCCAACCCAACCUGUUCCCUGUCACAUAGAGGACCUCCAGAAAUCCAAGCUUCCUCUCCAUGCAAGGGGCACCCCCUCUCAUCCUUCUUGUCUCCAUGCUACACGCCUGGGGUUCCAGCCAUCAAGGGGACAUGAGAUUAUCUGUACAAUUCUCCCCUUACAGAACUAGAUCUAAGGAACAGCAUUUUAAAUGAUGCCUCCCAGAGUCCAUGCCUUUCUUCCUGGGACAAGAACAGACCAGCACAUCCUGGUGAAAAACAUUCUCUCAGCACCUUGCAUGCAGCCCCUUUGGUCCCAUGGACUGGUAAGGGUGUAGUUUGCAGAGGGAGAAUUGUGCAGAUAAUCUGAUGUCCCUUUGAUGCCUGGAACCCCAGGAGGUGUAGCAUGGAGACAAGAAGGAUGAGGAGGAUGGAUGUCCCCUGCAUGAAGGGGAAGCUUGGAUUUCUGGAGGUCCUCUAUGUGACAGGGAACAGGUCGGGUUGGCUUUUGUCACUGAGGAUCAGAGGAUCGGUAAGAGGGACAUUGUGCUCACAGUUACAAACUACUUGAUCAGGGAGGGGAAACAGAAAAGGUCUUUUGUCAGCACCUGAGGAAGCCUCCAGGUUAAUAAGCAGGUUCCUAUGGAACUGGAAUUGCCCCGGCAUUCCCUGGCCA